rnacentral:rRNA from 1 species
UAGGGAAUUUUAGUCAAUGGCGCAAGCCUGAACGAGCGAUGCCGCGUGAGUGAAGAAGGCCUUCGGGUCGUAAAGCUCUGUUGCGGGGGAAAAAAGGCAGCAUCAGGAAAUGGGUGCUGACUGAUGGUGCCCCGCCAGAAAGUCACGGCUAACUACGUGCC